UACGUAGGGUGCAAGCGUUGUCCGGAAUUAUUGGGCGUAAAGAGCUCGUAGGCGGUCUGUCGCGUCGGCUGUGAAAACUCGAGGCUCAACCUCGAGACGUCGGUUGAAACCGUCUGGCUAGAGUCCGGAAGAGGAGAGUGGAAUUCCCGGUGUAGCGGUGAAAAUGCGCAGAUAUCGGGAAGAACACCCGUGGCGAAGGCGGCUCUCUGGGACGGUACUGACGCUGAGACGCGAAAGCGUGGGGAGCGAACAGG
rnacentral:rRNA from 1 species